rnacentral:rRNA from 1 species
ACGGGGCCCGCACAAGCGGUGGAGCAUGUGGUUUAAUUCGAAGCAACGCGAAGAACCUUACCUUGGUCUUGACAUCCACAGAACUUUCCAGAGAUGGAUUGGUGCCUUCGGGAACUGUGAGACAGGUGCUGCAUGGCUGUCGUCAGCUCGUGUUGUGAAAUGUUGGGUUAAGUCCCGCAACGAGCGCAACCCUUAUCCUUUGUUGCCAGCGGUCCGGCCGGGAACUCAAAGGAGACUGCCAGUGAUAAACUGGAGGAAGGUGGGAUGACGUCAAGUCAUCAUGGCCCUUACGACCAGGGCUACACACGUGCUACAAUGGCGCAUACAAAGAGAAGCGACCUCGCGAGAGCAAGCGGACCUCAUAAAGUGCGUCGUAGUCCGGAUUGGAGUCUGCAACUCGACUCCAUGAAGUCGGAAUCGCUAGUAAUCGUGGAUCAGAAUGCCACGGUGAAUACGUUCCCGGGCCUU